rnacentral:tRNA from 11 species
GGUGGCUGUAGUUCAGUUGGUUAGAGCGUCAGAUUGUGGUUCUGAAUGUCGUGGGUUCGAGUCCCAUCUGCCACCCCCA